GACGAACGCUGGCGGCGUGCCUAAUACAUGCAAGUCGAACGCAGUGGGGACGGGUGAGUAACACGUGGGUAACCUCCCAUCAGAGGGGAUAACACUUGGAAACAGGUGCUAAACCGAUACUGAUGGAUGGACCCGCGGUGCAUUAUCUAGUUGGUGAGGUAACGGCACACCAAGGCCACGAUGCAUAGCCGACCUGAUAGGGUGUGCGGCCACACUGGGGUGGAGACUCGGCCCGGUCUCAUACGGGAGGCAGCUGAAGGGAGUGUUCGGCAAUGGACGAGAGGCUGGCCGGACAACGCCGCGUGGGUGAAGAAGGUUUUCGGAUCGUAAAACUCUAUUGUUAGUGAAGCGGUAUCUAACCAGAAAGCCACGGCUAACUACGUGCCAGCAGCCGCGGUAAUAC
rnacentral:rRNA from 1 species